rnacentral:rRNA from 1 species
UACGUAGGCAGCAAGCGUUGUUCGGAGUUACUGGGCGUAAAGGGUGUGUAGGCGGCCUGUUAAGUUCCGUGUGAAAUCUCCCGGCUCAACCGGGAGGGUGCGCGGAAAACUGGCGGGCUAGAGUGCGGGAUGGGAGAGUAGAAUUCCUGGUGUAGCGGUGAAAUGCGUAGAUAUCAGGAGGAAUACCGGUGGUGUAGACGGCUCUCUGGACCGCAACUGACGCUGAAACACGAAAGCGUGGGCAGCAAACAGG